GUUCUCAGAGCUAGCCAGGUCACAUGAUAUUGACAUCAGACAUGUCGGCGUACAUACAGGCUGAAGUGGAAAUCUCUUCCUACCUGAACUCUCAGCACUGGAGAAACUGUGCAGUUUAUCACUGACCGUGGUAUACAGAUGAGCCAAAAAGGAAAACGUGGGUUAGAGAACCUGGCAGGACAACGGUUACUUGUCAAGACAUCCAUCCAGCUCUGAAGGCUGCCAUUGCCUGACUGGUGUUAGAUCCAGGCCAAGAACAUCAUUGUAAAAGCAGAGGUGUACUCUGUUCUCGAGCUAGCACGGAUUCUGGGAGUCACACAAGAACUAUUUCCAGAGCUGGAUAACAGUUCCAGACAGUUCCUAGAUCUCUUCCUGCCUUUCUUGGUGUUAUUGGCCACCUCUAGGUGUUCCAUUUUCAACUGAUGUUUUGUUUCCAAAGCAUAAGGAAAUUACACAGAGAGCGUGGAACCCACGUGGAAUUGCCCUGGCAAUUGUUCAGUUGAAGCACAGAGAUCUCACUGCAGGAGUCCCUUACAGAUAGAAGAAAAUAGGUGAAUUAUUCAGCAUUAACCAAAAACUGAAACAAUAAUUUUCAUUGAACGACCCCUAAACUGAGUAUUACUCAUAGACAACAAUAAAUAAAAAGCUUCAUACUGUUUUCAAAUGGACUGAACUCCUGCUAAACAGUGUUAUACAAUGUCUAAAAUAGAACUAAAAUAAAAAGAAACAUUUAAA